rnacentral:rRNA from 1 species
UGAACGCUGGCGGCGUGCCUACUACAUGCAAGUCGAGCGACCGGACGAGAAGCUUGCUUCUCUGAUGUUAGCGGCGGACGGGUGAGUAACACGUGGAUAACCUACCUAUAAGACUGGGAUAACUUCGGGAAACCGGAGCUAAUACCGGAUAAUAUUUUGAACCGCAUGGUUCAAAAGUGAAAGACGGUCUUGCUGUCACUUAUAGAUGGAUCCGCGCUGCAUUAGCUAGUUGGUAAGGUAACGGCUUACCAAGGCAACGAUGCAUAGCCGACCUGAGAGGGUGAUCGGCCACACUGGAACUGAGACACGGUCCAGACUCCUACGGGAGGCAGCAGUAGGGAAUCUUCCGCAAUGGGCGAAAGCCUGACGGAGCAACGCCGCGUGAGUGAUGAAGGUCUUCGGAUCGUAAAACUCUGUUAUUAGGGAAGAACAUAUGUGUAAGUAACUGUGCACAUCUUGACGGUACCUAAUCAGAAAGCCACGGCUAACUACGUG